rnacentral:lncRNA from 1 species
UUUUAUUUAUUAAGUCAGGGUUCACUAAACCGUUUCACCCAUUGAAGCUGAUCCCCUGUGGUAGCGUGAUUAUCACGUGAUAACCGUGAAAACUGCGAUGAAUUUGUCUUCCAAAUUUGAAUUCAAAACCGGAGAUGAUACUGGCAGCAAACACAAGGAUUCAAAGGAAGAAGCUAAAUCCAGUGAAUCAAAUCAAAAAGGUGCAAGC